CACUUGUAGAUGUUUCUUCCCUUGAAGACUGAUGGUUUUAGGAGUGAGGUGGGUUUAGAGGAAGAAGCUGUAAGAUACAAAGAGCUCCAGGGCGUUAGGAGAACAGCAUAGGCAAAGACUGGGAAACAGCAGAUGUUCUUUGGUGUGGCUGGAACAUAAAUGGCAAGGAGAGCUGAGCAAGAGAUGAGGCUAUAGGCUAAGGCCAGACCAGGAAAAAGAGAUCCCUGUCAGCCUGGCAAAGGGGGGAUGGACUUGUUCUAAAAGGCCAAUGGAAAACCUUAAAGGGCUUCCUAAGAGCAAGUGGCAGGAUGCUGCAUUUGAAAAGUUUCAUUCUGGCUUGGGCACCACAGCAUUUAGACUGGUGGGACUUGUGAAUGAAAAGCAACUCUAAAGUGAUUGUGGGCAGUGCCAGGAAAGCACAGAGGACUCUUCAGCAUCAGUCAUUACCUUUUUUGGCCAUGGAUCUUAGUUCCCCAACCAGAGUUGGAAUGCGCAUCCUCUGUAGCGGAAGUGCCCAGUCUUAACCACUGAACCACCAGAGAAGUCCCCUUUGAAGUUACUCCUUUUUGGCAAAGGGGAGACCCAAGAGACACUUGCCACCACUGCUGUGUGGAUAUAUUUAAACCUGGGUGCAACUCUAUUUUUAGUUUACCAGCAGGAAGGGUAUACCUCGUGUAUUCAAAAAGUCCAUCUGUGGUUAACAUCUGGACUUUGAUUUAUUAUAUUCAGUCUAAUCCAUGGAAUUUUUAUUCUGAUCAGCGUUACCAGAUGAACCAUGUUCUCUGAGGAAUGAUUAGCCCAAAGUAGGACAGAAGAGAAUCUGAGAAGUAGCCUUCCCACCUGCCCCUUGGAAACAGUCCCCAGCAGCACUUCCUGGAAACCACGAGACAAGUUGCAUGGCACCAGCCUCGGCUGCAGAGAUCCUGAAUUGGUUCUUUGUACAAGAUCGUCUCUUAGACACCAAAGCCUCAGUGCCCUCAAAAGAUCAUUCACUCCCUCUAAAUGCCUUAGAAAUGGAAAUUCUCAGCUGCUAAGUCGGACUCUUUGCGACCGGAUGUACUGCAGCACGCCAGGCUUCCCUGUCCUUCACUACCUCCCAGACAUUUGAGGGGAAACCAUUUGAGGAAACUGAAAAUGCUACAUCUACUAGUGGAAGAAAAUGCUUCGGUUUGCUCUGAAGAUUUUGCUGUUGUUCAAGCAUAUUGUGGUUCAAAGUUUACAAAGAAUAAUGUUAGUUAAAUGCCAAUGAACUCUUUUUAUAUGAAAUAUAGAGAUUCUGGGGGGGGGGUGAUGGUGGCAGUGGUGCCUCUUACUUCCUUAUGUAAGAUGCUUGAACAUUCUCAUCAAUAUUGCCAUCAUCUGUUUCAUAUUCCCAGUGAGGAAUUCCCUGGGUGUCCAGUGGUUAGGACUCAGUGCGUCACUGCUGGGGCCUGGAUUCAGUCCUGGUCAUGGCACCGAGAUCCUACAAGUCACAUGGCCAAAAAAACAAACAACAAAAUCUCCCAGUAUGUUUUCUCAAAGUCUAUUUACUUAAGAUUGUAUGGAAUGACAUAAUAAAGAAUAAAAUCUGAAUUACAGACACACAGUAAUAAUUCAAUAUUUAAAAAUAAUUUUCAUAUUUUGGCAGGAACACAGAAAUAGAAUUUUUGACAUUCAUUAUAUUAGGUGAUUAAUGCUAUUUCUUUUGAUAUAAAGUCCUCUUAUUUGGAGUUUAAUAUUUCAUAUGUUCAAAUGUGUACAAUAUCCCCAAAUAAAAAUA